UCAAAAAUAAAUAUCAAUCCGUCUUGGUCUUCUCUGGCCCUUGGCAAUGGAUUGGUUUGAUAGUGCUUGGUGGUAUAACAUAAGGAUGUCGAUGUCACUGUCAAAUUGGGGUAUUAUUAAUCUGCCAUCAGUCAAAGACUCGAGCAGGAGAUCUUUCCUAUCGGCCACAAACAACCUUUGGUUUAGUUGUGUUUUUAAGUCUCCUCGUAUUUUUAUUUCAUCCCAUCCAGGAUAAUUGACGAGAUGAAUGACAAAGGCGAUACAAGCGUUGCUUUGCUACCAUUACAUAUAUUCUAGAUCAGAAUCAGUUAAUUUAAAAUUCUGGAUGAUGAUGGUCCUUCCGAUAUCUGGCUGAUAAGCGAGUGUUGUGUUUGCGUUACAUUUCUAUUUGAUUCUACAGGGAAUGGUGUCGUGUUGGGGAAAAUAAGGCAGUGGGGCAUCCCAUAAUAAUAUCCGUCCUGAAUAUUACGUCGACCAGGUUUCACCUGGCCAGGAUUUUCCAGGGCAUAAGACAAGACAGAUACGACAAGCACAUCACCACCAAUGGCACUAUUUUAGAUGGACAUACAGAACUUGUUGAACUUUUACGUAAAACUCGCUUUCUUUCAUCUGAAACAAAUUGCUGACCAGGGAGUUCCAAAAAACUAACAACUUUAUUACGAGUCUUGUUCUAGAGAAACUUGAAUUUUGAAAAUGUGUUUAAAAAUUCAAUUACUGUGACUGAGUUUUAUACUACAUGACUCGUUGUGUAUAUAACCACACAAUAUUCCAGUGUGUAUGUAACAAUGGUGGUGUAUAGCAAAAAAAGAACUCUGAAAGUUUCCGCCUUGGCUGCAGCCCUAAUAAAAAAGUCAGUUUAGUUUGAACAUUAAAUGAACAGGAAAAAGAUUGAUGAGCUAUAACUUUUAUACAUUUAUAACCUCAAAAAUAAAGAACAAGAACCGAAUUCGAAGAACCUCUGAAUAAUAUGUUUUUCUCUUUCUGUUUAUUUAGGCCUCUCUUUUCUCCUAACCUACAUACACACAAUAAUAAUAACACAUGCACACCCAAGAACGCCAGGAAUUUAAU